GAUGAACGCUGGCGGCGUGCUUAACACAUGCAAGUCGAACGAUUAAGACGGCUUCGGCCGUGUAUAGAGUGGCGAACGGGUGAGUAACACGUGACCAACCUGCCCCGCGCUCCGGGACAACCGCUGGAAACGGCGGCUAAUACCGGAUGCUCCGGGGAGGCCCCAUGGCCUCCCCGGGAAAGCCUUAACGGCGCGGGAUGGGGUCGCGGCCCAUUAGGUAGACGGCGGGGUAACGGCCCACCGUGCCCGCGAUGGGUAGCCGGACUGAGAGGUCGACCGGCCACAUUGGGACUGAGAUACGGCCCAGACUCCUACGGGAGGCAGCAGUGGGGAAUUUUGCGCAAUGGGGGAAACCCUGACGCAGCAACGCCGCGUGCGGGACGAAGGCCUUCGGGUUGUAAACCGCUUUCAGCAGGGAAGACAUAGACGGUAC
rnacentral:rRNA from 1 species